rnacentral:rRNA from 1 species
GGGCCCGCACAAGCGGUGGAGCAUGUGGUUUAAUUCGAUGAUACGCGAGGAACCUUACCAGGGCUUAAAUGUAAGUUGCAUGGAUCAGAGAUGGUCCUUUCUUCGGACUACUUACAAGGUGCUGCAUGGUUGUCGUCAGCUCGUGCCGUGAGGUGUCAGGUUAAGUCCUAUAACGAGCGCAACCCCUAUUGUUAGUUGCCAGCGGGUCAAGCCGGGUACUCUAGCGAGACUGCCGGUGCAAACCGAGAGGAAGGUGGGGACGACGUCAAAUCAUCACGGCCCUUACGUCCUGGCUACACACGUGCUACAAUGGCCGGUACAGAGAGCAGCCACCCCGCGAGGGGGCGCG